GUGUGCUACAUUACUGAGAAUGUCCUAUUUAACUAGCUUUUAGCCCUCUAAACUGGGUCGUUUUUGUAGCAAAUUCAAUUUAGCUUCGUUUGUCAAAUUUGUCUGGGGUGCAUAAAAAUCGCAGAAAAGCUCCAUUGUCUAUUGAAACGGUGUCAAAUGAUAGCUCUAGUCAAACUGGAACAGACCAUGUGUGCUACAUUACUGAGAAUGUCCAAUUUAACUAGCUUUUAGCCCUCUAAACUGGGUCGUUUUUGUAUCAAAUUCAAUUUAGCUUUGUUUGUCAAAUUUGUCUGAGGGUGCAUAAAAAUCGCAGAAAAGCUCCAUUGUCUAUUGAAACGGUGUCAAAUGAUAG
rnacentral:lncRNA from 1 species